AAACUGCGCGUCGGAAUGUGAACUGCAGGACAUAUGAGCAUCGACACUUUGAACGCAUAUUGCGGGCGCUGGCUCGUCCACCGCCCAUGUCUGGCUCAGGGUCGGUUUUGCAUCCCUCCCAGGUUUGUCCUGGGCAUUGGGCUCUCGCUCCGCCUCCGGGCGUAGCGUGGCUUCAAGUUGCGAGCUCGUCUGCCUCCGACGGACUGCUCUGACUCUUGGGCUUGUCCCGGGUCUGGCAAGUCGCUGGCGACGAGCGCUGCCUCGAGUCCUGGCCUCGAGACGGCGACCCCUCAUUUUUCGACCUGAGAGCAGGCAAGGUGACCCGCCAAAUUUAAGCAUAUUAAUAAGCGGAGGAAAAGAAAACAACCGUGAUGCCCUUAGUAAUGGCGAAUGAAACGGGCAGAGCCCAGCACCGAACUGCCGGCCUUUGGUCGCGCGGAAUGUGGUGUUUGGGGGAGCCUCCUCGCGACGUUUCGGCCAGUCCAAGUCCACCUUGACUGGGGCCACGGCC
rnacentral:rRNA from 1 species